GGGGCGGCGGCCGGCCUCGGGGGGGCGGCGCGGAGGCGGCGAAGCGGCGGUGGGGCUCCUGUCCGCACUCGGCGAUUUUUGGGGGGCCGAAAGGGCGGGCGGGCGCGCUGCGGAUCUGACAGGACCUGCCCGUAUAUGUCUAAUAUAAAGACCAUUUCCUGCGGCGCGAGGGGCGCUGCUUGUCCGCGCGCGCCCGGCGGGACCGCCCGCUCCCACCGCCCGAUCCCGCUCCCACCCCCGGCAGCCGCGGAGAGCAGAGUGGGGGCUGCUCCCCCUUGUCGCCUCCCCGGCGGCCGCGGAGGGCGGGCGGCGCGUCCCUAAUUUAUUUAUCACUGUUCCCCAGGAAGGGGUGGAAAGUGGGUUAUCGAUUAUAUAAACACAUCAAUAUUCAUGGCGCUGCGCGGAGGGACGCGGCUCGGCCAGAACAGACAGCGCGGGGGGAGGGGGAGCGCGGCGGCGUUGAUGGGCGCGCUCUCUCUGCGCUCGCGGACGUGGGCGAGCAGCUGCAUGUGCCAGUGGGGCGAUGGCUCCGCGGGCGCGGAAGGGCGCGGGGCGGUGGACAGGUGGCAGCGUGCCCCGCGGAGAGGGGCGGCUCUUUACCUGCGCCCCGCCCGCCCCCCGCGGCGGCACCCCACGUCGGGGGGAACCACCGGCUCUGCGCGUCCCGCACAGCCUCCGCUGUCUUGAGGCGGGCAGCUCGGGGGGCCGCCGGGAACCUCAGCCGCGGGGAGUCCCGGUCAGCGAGAGGAGCGGGCACCGCCGCAAGUGCCGCCCCGCAACGCCGGGCACUGAAAGUUCCCAUCGGUGCUCUAGGAGCUGCAUCCCCGCAGCUUGAUCCUAAAUGGAGAGCAUCCCAUCCCAAAUCUGCCGGAAGAGUCCCCUCCUGAUGAGUCUGAAGGCAAUGCAGGAUACUUCCCACAGUUACACCCACCACCAAAUCAUGACAGCAGAAACAGUCAAGAUGAAAGUUCAUCCUACCUUUACAACCAAGGCAUUGAAUUCCCAUGUCUGGAUCUUUCUGUAUUUGAAACUCUCCAUUGCCUUCAUUGUAUUUUUAAGGUAAAGAAUUUGAAGAUCUGUUCCUAAAUAAAAAGUACCAAAUUAAUAUUACA
rnacentral:lncRNA from 1 species